UGUCUUAGUUGGUUGAGGGGUCUUUUGAAGAAGGAUCAUGAGAACACUUCGAAUCUUGAUGGAGUAGAGAGGAAAAUCUACGGUAGCAAUCGCCAUUUUGGAGUGCACCUCAUCUGCCAUUGCAGGCCUUUCUCUUAUUUAGGAAACAGUACCCAUCACACAGAACCCAAGAGAUCAAUAAUGUUAUCAACAAGGCCGGACAUGCAAUUCCCUAAUGGUUCUUGGUAUGGACAUUGGGGAAUAUGCUAUACUUAUGGAACAUGGUUUGCACUUGAGGCAUUGUCAUGGGCGGAGAAGACAUGCGAAAAGUUGUGAAGCACUUCGGAAAGGAGCUAAUUUUCUAAUAAAGAUACAAAAUUUAGGAGGGUUUGGAGAAAGCUACUUGUCAUAUGCUUACAAGGAUUUAUGAUGAAAAGAAGCAAAAAUAAACUAACGCAACAAAAGCUUACAUAUAAAGUGAUCAGAUCAACUCCAUAUUUUGCAUGCAAAGAACCAUGCGAUGAGCAGAAACAUGAAGAGAGAAAAAGACAAACAUGUAGAUGUUGGAUGUCAAACCAAAAUGCAAGUUGGUAGCUGAUUUGAAACAGUCCCGACAGAGCUAAUGAACAUAUGAUGCAAGUAGCCGGUGCAACAAAGCAUGAAAUUAAAUGAACAGGUAUCAGAGCAUCAUUAGAAAGAAACAAAGAAGCUUUUAUUUGAUGCCUAUCAAUAUAGCCCAUCUGAAAAUUGUUUUAGAGAGAGAAUUCCCAUCGAGAGAUUGGCUAAAGCUCUGCCCAUAUUCUUCUAUAAUUCCAUCAUUAUCGUCCACCUUCCAAGCUUUUUUUUGAGGAAUUCUAAGUGAGACCUUAGCCUUCCUCUUUGAAACAGGAGAAAACUCCACCACCUCCAUUGUAAUCGCCAUUGAAGCAACCACCAUGCAAGCUGAAGGAAGUAAGACAUUGCGACAGGAAGCUUGACAUUUUUAUUUUCUACUCCUUAUAACAUUUUUCUUGUCAACUUAUUUGUAUUAAGUAAUUUGAAAUUGAAAGACUGUCAUGCUUUAAUAUAAAAAUGAUUUCUUCAA